AACGCACAUUGCGCCCGCCAGCAUUCUGGCGGGCAUGCCUAUUCGAGCGUCAUUUCAACCCUUAAGCCCCUGUUGCUUAGCGUUGGGAGUCUACGUCUACAGCGUAGUUCCUCAAAGUUAGUGGCGGAGUUAGGGUACACUCUCGGCGUAGUAAUAUUUCUCGCUCGUGUGGUGGCCUUGGCUGCUGGCCGUUAAACCCCCUAUAUAUUCUAGUGGUUGACCUCGGAUUAGGUAGGAAUACCCGCUGAACUUAA
rnacentral:misc_RNA from 1 species